CUGAGAGAAUCCCAAGAGUGCUGAGAGGUGUUUUCCUUCUGUGUGCUUCGUCUUCAGUUGCAGUGAAGAGAAUCUUCGGAAGUAUAGGACCAUGCUGGCGAGAACACACUUGAUGGUG